rnacentral:sRNA from 1 species
UCCCGGGGGUCAGGGGAGGGAGGCCAGCGGGCCGGCGGGGUCCGCCCCGACCCCAACCACGACCCCGACUCCUAUCCGAUCCUAUCCCCGGCUCCGCUCGGGCCUUUCCCCUUGCGCCCUGGCUCGGCUGGCUCGACGAGCAGUAAGUUCGUAGCCGCCCUCCGAAGCCGGGCGUGCAUGGGAUGGCAGAGUUGGCGUGCGUGCUUGAGUCCACCAGUGUGGCAUGGGCAUGUAAGGUGCGCGGAGGGACUGCACCUUCUCCAUCAGGUGCAGAAGGCCACGUCAUGCUGAACAAGAGCCGAGAAGUAGAAUCGCCAGUGUCAAGCCGUCCACGUUGUGGGAUGCCCACUGUUCCCCCAGGAUCACUCAAGACCCUGUGACUUGUGGUCACUGAUGAGUGGACCAAGUGAAGUCCACAAGAUGGCUGCUGUGGCUCCAGGCAUCACGUCCACAUGCAAAUCCAUCCAGAGGCAGGAACUGGGAAUAGGCUUGGAGGUGGCCAGGACAGCAAGUGGGCUGUCUGUAUAAACCUCCCCUCCACUUGGGAAGGAAAAUCACCCCCCAAGUCGAUUUUCUGUCCAUCUUAUUGAUCAGAGACCGUUAUAAAUUCACCCAUUAAAUAAUCUGGACAAGGGGAGUGUGCAUGUUGUCCUUGGUUUAGACUGGUUAUGAUUUAUGCCCUGAAAUUGGACAUAUUGCCAAGCAAGCGAAAUUGAGAUUCCAUCAGCCAGGAAGAAGGGGUAAGGAAGAUGAAUAUUGGGUAGGCACAUGAUAGGGGUUGUCACAAGUUUUAAGAUGCUUUCAAUUAGUAAAUAACUGUCGAGAUUACCUUUUGUUUUCACCUGCCCAGUCUCCGUUGUGCCUCCUUCAGAAACACACACUGGGUUUUCUUUGGGUGUGAAGGGGCCUCUGUGUCCAUCAUUCCAGUGUGAGCACAUGAUCUGAGCCAGGUCAGUGAGGUUUAAUUU